rnacentral:tRNA from 1 species
GUGAUCGUAGCUCAGUUGGUAGAGCCCCGGAUUGUGGUUCCGGUUGUCGUGGGUUCGAAUCCAAUCGAUCCCCCCA